rnacentral:lncRNA from 1 species
GAAAUGGGCUGAGUCCCUCUUGCUCACCCUUGACUUGGAAAAACCAGUUUCUCUUUUAUUGUCUGUUACUAAUCUCUAUUCUAAAAAUUCAGCUCAAUUCUCAACCAUACUCCAAACUCUCUCUUUUCCAGCUACCUUUACUCCCUCUCCUUCAAUUCCACUUUCCUCUGCUUACUUUUUUUUUUUUUCUGACAGGGUCUCACUUUGUCGCCCGGGCAGGAGUGCAGUGGCUCAAUCUUGGGCUCACUGCAGCCUCAACCUCCCAGAGGCGGGGUUUCACCAUGUUGCCCAGACUGGUCUUGAACUCCUGAGCUUAAGCAAUCCACCUGCCUCGGCCUCCCAAAGUGUUGGGAUCACAGGCGUGAGCCACCGCAUCCGGCCUCAUGUUCUUUUUCAUUAAAGAGAGAAAUCAACUAUUCAGGACCGGCCCCCACCUUUCCUCAGGAGUCAUUUCUGUUCCGCACAGGCCUGCUGAACUGGGUGCUUUAUAUAGGACACUGUCAUCUCUCAAGUACCCAUCUUGGAGGGUACGGACCCCACAUGAGGAUUUCAGUGGAGUGAAGUUCAGGAGGCAUGGAGCUGACAACCAUGAGGCCUCGGCAGCCACCGCCACCACCGCCGCCGCCACCACCGUAGCAGCAGCAGCAGCAGCAGCAGCAGCAGCAGCAGCAGCAAGAGUAACUCUGACUUAGGAAUAGAGACAGCCAGAGAGAAAUGUGAUCAAUGAAGGAGACAUCUGGAGUGUGCGUGCUUCUUCAGAGGGACGGGUGAUGGGCAGAUUGGAAAAAGCACCGCAGAUGGGAACCUUAAUCUUUCUUUUCUAAAAUUGAUGCUAUGAAAAUUUGCGUUUUCUGUAACUUGUAAAAACUAAAAGUUGCUUGUCUACUG